rnacentral:misc_RNA from 1 species
AGGGAUCUGAACUGUGUAGAAGAUCUGACCAACUAUCAGCUUUGAAACCUUCUGAAAAGGUGAGCAAGGUCCUGUCUUUUAGCGCAAGGAAUAGAUUUCAUGCUGGGGAUGAUCAUUUAGCUUCUCAGGAGUGUACUGAGUUGUGGAAGUCUCAUAUUAGCUCUUCGUUAUUGCUGAAUAGGGUAUCCCAAGUUGCCUUCUCUAAAAAUGAAACAUUUAGAAACAUUCAGGAUUUAGAGGCUACUGAGAGAGUUUUUAAGAGACGGAGGGUGGUACCAGCUUCCUUAAAGGGACAGGUCAAUGUUGAUGCCAAGUGCAAAGAGAAUAUAAUGGCUGAGAAAAAUGUGCAUGAUCAAUUGAAAGAUGAUGGAUAUUGUGCACUGGAGAAAACCAAAAGAAGUGGUUCCAUUGGCUAUUUCCUUACCAGAAGUACAGAAUCUAGUGAUGCCUGUUCCGUUGGUAGUUGUAGUAUCAAUGAGAAAUUUUCUAACUUAUCUCCGGAAGAAGUCUAUUGUCAAGGAACUGUGCUUUGCAGUGAUGCAGAGUCUUUUCAUGAUUCUGCAGAUAAGGAGGAAAGACACUCUCUUUCUUCACCAGUGAAAAUAGCAGCAAGUAUUCAUAGUUUGGAGUUACAUGCUUAUCGCUGCACUUUAGAGGCAUUGUAUGCGUCCGGUCCCUUAAGUUGGGACCAAGAAUCAUUGUUAACUAAUCUUCGCAUCUCGCUCCAUAUUUCAAAUGAUGAACAUUUAGCAGAGCUGAAGACUUUAAUUUCUGCUGGAACUGGGCAACAGUUGGAUGUAUACAUCCUUUGCCUCCAAAAGUCAAAAGAUGAUGCUUGCAUUUGCAGCACCUCUCCUGGCAUUAUAUGGAGGACUCCUACAACAACUGUCCCACAGAUAAGACAA